rnacentral:snRNA from 1 species
UCUUGUAUCUUGCUGAAUUUCCUUAAGAUCAUUAUUUUAAAUUUAUUCUCAUACCAUGAUCCCUUGCAAUUUCCCCAAAUGUGGGAAACUCGACUGCAUAAUUUGUGGUAGUGGGGGACUGCGUUCGCGCUCUCCCCUA